rnacentral:tRNA from 1 species
GUGAGUGUAGCUCAACUGGCUAGAGCGUGGGACUGUGGCUCCUAAGGUUGCGGGUUCGAUCCCCGUCACUCACCCCA